rnacentral:rRNA from 1 species
UUUCUUGAGUGUGUGAUCAUGACAAGACUCGAGGAAUAGGGGGCAAGUGUUCUUUGGAAUAAUUGGGCGUAAAGGGCAUGUAGGCGGUGAAUCGGGUUGAAAGUGAAAUUCGCCAAAAACUGGCGGAAUGCUGUCGAAACCAAUUCACUUGAGUGGGACAGGGGAGAGUGGAAUUUCAUGUGUAGGGGUGAAAUCCUAAGAUCUACGAAGGAACGCCAAAAGCGAAGGCAACUCUCUAGGUCCCUACUGAUGCUGGGGUGCAAAAGCAUGGGGAGCGAACGGGAUCCAUGCCAUAAAUGAUGAGUGUUCACCCUUGGUCUAUGCGGAUUAUGGGCCCAGCUAACGUGUGAAACAAUCUACCUGGGGAGUACGGUCGCAAGGCUAAAACUCAAAAGAAUUGACGAGUGCCUACAGAAGCGAUGAAGCAUGUGUUUAAUUUGAUACAAUGUGUAAAACCUUACUAGUCCUUGACAUAUGAACAACAAAACCUGUCCUUAACGGGAUGGUACCUACUUUCAUACAAGUGUUGCAUGGUUGUCGUCAGCUCGUGUCGUGAGAUAUUUGGUCAAGUCCUAUAACGAGAAACCCUCAUUUUGUGUUGUUAACACAUGCGCCUAAGGAGAAAGUCAUUGCAACCAAAGUGAGCCUAGGAGUCGAGGGACAUGCCAGCGCUACUAAUUGAGUGCCAACAUGUAGUUGUGUUGUCAGUAAGAGAGGAACUGGUGCCUUUCAAAGUGCUUUUAGUGUGCGCUUUAGUUUGAUUACAGCUAGCGCGCUUUACUAAACAUUCUCACUUGCUUAAGUCCAGGUUUUGGCCUUAUCUUGCAGGUGACGACGACGUCGAGUUAGUGGGGAAAAAAGACUCACCAUUUAGGCGAGCUGCUCGAUGGUGUGGUACAUAGUGGGUUUAGUAUAGCCCACCAAAACGGCUUUAAUACAAAUAAAAGGGUGCAUGCCGCACUUACGAGGGACUGCUAGUGAUAUAAUAGAGGAAGGUGGGGAUGACGUCAAGUCCGCAUGGACCUUAUAGGCUGGGCCACACAUGUGCUACGAUGGCAAUUACAAUAGGAAGCAAGGCUAUAAGGCAGAGCAAAUCCGGAAAGAUUGCCUCAAUUCAGAUUAUUCUCUACAAGUUGGGAACAUGUAGUUGGAAUCGCUAGUAAUCAAGGAUUAGCAUGCCGUGGUAAAUAUGUACCCGGGCCCUAUACACGUUGCCUGUCACACCCUAGGAAUUGGUUUCGCCUAAAGCAUUGAAUAAUGUUCACCCAUGACUUUUGUGUACCACUAGUUCUACAAGGGCUUUCAGUGGUCUUAUUAGCACAUACCAUGAUAAGGUCUUCAACUAGGGUGAACUCGUAACAAGGUAGCCAUAAAAGGAACAUGUGGCUGGAUUGAAUCUAAA